CACCUAAGAUCAUCAUUAACGGGGUAUGCAACUCCCGUCUCUUAGUAUUAAUAGCAAUUAAAAAAAGUUAGGUUAAAUAAGAAGAAACGUUGCUUAAUUAAGAGUUACAUAGGGACGGUCUUUUGAGACACGUGUUGGCUAAAGAGCGUUCAUCUCUUUCUCUCUCCCUCUCGUCGACCAUUCUCCAAAAUCUCUCAGACAAUACUCGAUGGCGACGAUUCCUCCCCAAUUCUUCAGGGCAAGUCAAAUAUAACUCUUCUGUGUGUUAGAUUAUAGACGGAGGAGGUGGCGACGGUGGUGGUGCCGCGUACAACCACACACGGUGGAGGAGGUUUUUAGGGAUUUUAAGGGUCGUAGGAAUGGCAUGAUUAAGGCUCUAACCACUGAUGUUCAGGAGUUUUACCGACUUUGCAAUCCAGUGUCACAAGUUCGUGAUGAUGAGCAGAAGUUGUGUCAGAUACAAAGAAAGCUAUUGAGUUGGAUCCUGCAUUGGCCAAAGCUUACUUAAGAAAAGGCUACUUGGAUACAGCAUGGGGAAGAGGAUUGUGCCUAGGUGUAACGUAAUCAAAGCUCUCAUGACCAAAGGGUUGCUUGGUUUAUCGGUUUCAUUAGAAAGAAACAUUUGUUAUGUUAUUUCAUGAUUCAGAAACAUCAUGAUAUUUUCUUUUUUGUGAAUCAUAUUUCAUUCAUGCAAUUAAAACUGGUACAUUCAUGCAAUUAAAAUGUUUAAGAAUUUUGUUUUUAAAACCUUUAA